rnacentral:rRNA from 1 species
ACGGAGGGUGCGAGCGUUAAUCGGAAUUACUGGGCGUAAAGCGUGCGCAGGCGGUUCGCUAAGUCAGGUGUGAAAGCCCCGGGCUUAACCUGGGAAUUGCGUUUGAGACUGGCGGGCUAGAGUACGGUAGAGGGGGGUAGAAUUCCAGGUGUAGCGGUGAAAUGCAUAGAGAUCUGGAGGAAUACCGGUGGCGAAGGCAGCCCCCUGGGCCGAUACUGACGCUCA